CCACGACAUCUCCUGCAGCAAUUAGUGGGUGCAAAUACUUGCAUAGUUCAGAAGCAAUAUAACCAACAUGUGUCCAUACAGUUCCAUAGUCUAGAUCAAUAGGCAAUUCCAGCUUUUAAUUUAUGCAUGCAGGGGGUGAUGGGAAGUAAGGUAUCAUAUUGCUGAUUAUGCUGAAAAAUUUUAAUAAACUACCUAAACAACCAAAAUAUUUCAAUAUUUACAAGAGCUAUCUCUCCAUGUUUACA